AUGAUACUGGGAGGGCUCAUCGACAGCCUGACCGGCGCGAACAAGAGCGCGCGGCUCAAGGGCACGGUGGUGCUGAUGAGGAAGAACGUGCUGGACCUCACCGACUUGGGCGCCACCAUCAUGGACGGCAUCGGCGACUUCCUCGGCAAGGGCGUCACCUGCCAGCUUAUCAGCUCCACCCUCGUCGACCACGCUGAGCAUGGGCAUGGCAUGGAAAGAAGAGACAACAUCAUGGAGCUUGAUGCUCCAGACAAAACAACGGCGGGCGCGGAGGCGGAGCUGGAGCAGUGGGUGACGAGCCUGCCGUCGCUGACGACGGGGGAGUCCAAGUUUGGCCUCACCUUCGACUGGGAGGUGGAGAAGCUCGGGGUGCCGGGCGCCAUCAUCGUCAACAACUACCACAGCUCCGAGUUCCUGCUCAAGACCGUCACCCUCCACGACGUCCCCGGCCGCGGCAGCCUCUCCUUCGUCGCCAACUCCUGGGUCUACCCCGCCGCCAGCUACACCUACAGCCGCGUCUUCUUCGCCAACGACGUGAGUGAUCCUUUUGCCUCUCCUCUCCUUUCCUUUUCACCGGCCGGCUUCGUCAUUCAUGGUCAUUAA
rnacentral:rRNA from 1 species